UGUGUCCACAUUUCCCUCAGUGCCCGUCACCAUCGCUGAUGGCAGUGGCCGCUAAACUGUGAAGACUCGUGGAUAGCUGUGUGUGUGAUGUCAGAAAGCCACAUGACUAAGCCAGGCAUAGUGGCACACCCCUUUAAUCCCAGCACUCAGGAGCCAGAGGCAGGCAGAUCUUUAUGAGUUCGAGGCCAGCCUGGUCUGCUUAAUGAAUUCCAAGACAGCCAGGGCUCUGUAGAAAGACCCUGUCUCAAAAACCUAAAAGAAAGAAAGAAAGCUAGACUGACUUAAGCAAAAGGAAAGCUCACAGUAGGAUGCUGGGGCAACUCACUGGGUUCCUGGUUGCCAGGGUCACCCCGCUCUGUCCCUGUCCUCACACUGCCUUGCUCCUCAGGUACCUCCAGCUGUCCACCAGCUGUCUUCCAGUGGUUCUCCAUCUUGCUCAUUUUUUUUUCCCCAGGAGGAAAGAUUGAAGGACUGUCUCAGCAUUUGGAAGCCUUUUGUUUUGUAGUUAUGUGUACACACACACACACACACACACACACACACACACAUCUAUGUUUGUACAUGUGUGCACAUGGAAGCCAGAGACCAAUGUCAGGCUCCUCUUCAGUUGCUCUUCACCUGAAUUGUUGUGACACAGUCUCACUAAAGCUGGAGUUCACUGAUUUCACUGGGCUGGCUGCCUGACAAGCCCAGGGAUCGUCCUUUCUCUUUCUCCCUAGAGCUGGGAUUUCAAACACAGUCUGCCAUGCCUACCCUUUCCAUUGGUGCUGGGUCCAGACUCGGGUCCUCAUACUAGCAAGGCAGGCACUUGUACUGCCUGACCCUUCGCCUAGUCCUCAUUCGUUAGUUUUUGACACAGGGUUCAUGUAGCCAGCCUGGCCCAGUCUCCCAUGUAGCCAAGGCUGAUUCUGAACUGAGACUCCUGGUUCCUCCCCUUCUACCAUGUGAGUCCAGGGAUCAGACUGAGGUCAUCCGACUUGACAGCAAGAGCCUUCACAAUGGAGCCUUCUUACCAGCACUCUCUCUUGUGGUUUGGGUUUAUUAUUUGUUACUUUGUUUUGCUUGAGCAGCAUCUCAUGUAGCUCAGGCUGGUCUUGCAGUCUGACCCUCCUUACCUUUGCCUCCCAAGUUCUGUGAUUACAGACCUGUCCUGUUUUGUGCAGCUUAUGUUUUUUAAUUCCCUGCAUUUCAUAGACUUUCAGCUGCUGUUCUAGAGAUUCCUGUGUGGCUGCUUUUACGGUCUACUUAGUGUCUUAAACAGGGCCUGGGAAUGCCCCGCUGUAGGUGUUUCUUCACGCUUGCAUGUUUUUUUUUUUUUGUCAAACUGGGUAGGGAAAAAAAACUCAACUUCUUCUUCUGUUCAUUUGGAUAGUUCCUAAUCGUCCACCCACAGGUUGUCUUCCCCCGUGAUGCCUCCCUUUUGUGGUUGAUCCUGUCUUGUGAAUUUUGUCUCAGUGACGUGGUAAUAGGGAAGUUGUAAAAGCUCCCAUUAGAUUGUGAUUCAUGUUUUCCAUUUCUAUGAUGCAGUUUUACCAUCCCAUUCAUUUUUUUUUUAAUUUUUGUUUUGUUAUUUUUUUAGGCAGGGCCUCUAUGUAGUCCUGACUUUCCCGGAAGUCAUUGUAUAGACCAGGCUGGCUUUCAGCUCACAGAGAUAGAUAGAUCCACCUGAGUGCUAGGAUUAAAGGAGUGUGCCAGUGCCACCAUGCCUGACUGCCUUCCCGUUCAUUUCAGGACUCGGCCACUCGUACUCUGGAAAUAGUUUAAACCAGGUGCUGUCUUGCUUUGCUUUCUACAGUUGCAUGAACACCAUGAGCAGCGGCAGCUCGGGUUUACUCCAGUGUGUGGGCGUCAGAGCUGACGCAGGGGUCGUGGAGGAGCCCUUCUUCCUGGCUGGCUCUCCAUGGUUGCUCAGCCUGCUUUCUUACAGAACCCAGGACUGCUUGCCCAGGGGUGACACUGCCCACAGUGGGCUCCGCCCUUCCACAUCAAUCGUUAAUCAAGAAAAUACCCUCCAGAUUUGACUGUGGGCCAAUUUAAUUAAGGCAUUUUCUCAUUUGAAGUUCCCUCUUCCUAGAUGACUCUGACUUGUAUCAAGAUGACAAAAACACUAGUCUACGUAGUUGCUCACUUCCGCUGCCUGGUCUGUCUGGGCCUGGUCUUUCGUUGAUUUUCUUGUACCAGUUGAGCUUCCUGCCUCUUGAGAAGCCAAGUCAUUUUCUGGUGUAUCCUGAGCUUUCGAAUGCCAUAAUGGCAUCUCUGUAAACGGGAAGGUUCUGUCCUGCCCGGUUCCGCAGUUAUUCAGCCCCAGAUCAUCACAUUUCUCAAGGCUAUGGUCUUGUUUCUAUCUCUAGUACGUCAGUAACUUGGCUAUGUUUAGCAAACAGGUUCUGGCCCUCCCAUGCAUUGAGGUUCUUAGAGAGUCUUCCUUGUGUUCUCCAGGUCUGAUCCAAGAGUGCCAUCCAGUGGCCAAUCUUGGUUAGUUUUUUGAAGUUCAGUGGCUAAGAUAAAGGACCUCACUGUUAAACCUGCGCAGUCAUGGUAGAGCAAGCAUACUGAGGUCUAUCCUUUUGGUAAAACUGAAGUGCCAAGGAGAUACAAGUCUGGCUAUUAUAGUUGUUGUAGUGGUGGUGUGUUGUUGUUACUGCUGUUGCUGUGUGAGCUAGUCAGGGUCUUGCUUUGAACCUAGUGGGCCUGACCUGUAUAGCACAUGCUACUUUGUUUUUAUUUAUUCUGGUGUGUGUAUGUGUGUGUGGUGUGUGUAUUCACGGGCCCCACACAGUGGUCAGAAGGAGCUGGUUUUUGCCUGUCAAACUUUGCCCUAUACAGCAUCAAGGCCAGUGUGGACUACAGCAAGACCCUGAUAUACACACAGACAAAAGGAGGGAAACUCCGCUGUGUGAGGUUCUCAGAGCACCACAUUUAGAGCACAAUGGUGGUUGCACAGAUUUGGAGGCCGACCGUGGGAAGUUGUUAAUGGUUCUCUGUAGUGUGGACAUGGUUGUGGUGAUAGGACAGUAUUAAAGCACUUAGGUGAGACGUGGUGGCGCACACACCAUUAGCCUGAGCACUCAGGAGACAAAGGCAAGCCCACCUCUGUGAGUUCAAGGACAGCCUGGUCUAUGUGGUAGAUUUUGGGCCAGCCAGAGGUACAUAGUGAGACUUUGCCUCAGUGGGGGAUGGUGAGCCAGCAUAUCUCUCCAGCUAGAGCUACAUAGAAAGACCUUGUCUGUAACAAAAAAAAAAAAAAAAGCCAUGCUUGGAUUGGGGGUGCACCGAGUUGGUUAGUGCUUACCUGGUUUCCAUCCCAGCACUGCACAAAAACUCGGCUUGGUUUUGGGCAUCUCUGACCCCUCGCUCAGGAGGUAGAAGCAGGAGACUCAGAAGCUGUAGGGCUUCCCAGCUGGAUUGAACAAGUGUUAUCAUUGGUAUGGUGUGUGGCCCGCCUGUGCAUAUCAGGAACAUAUCUGCUUGUGUGCACUUUGUGUUGAACAGCAUAGAAGUGGUCUGGGGACAUGAGCAGUGGCCUCCAUGCCUUUCUCCUCACUUUGUCUGACUAUUUCCUCAUUUCUCAUUUUGUGAAAGAGUGAGAUUUUCUAGUUGCCUGGUUGAAGUGAAUAGAAUUUAAUGUAGUGUGCCAGCUGUGCCACAAGGUGGCCCCAGCACACCAUGAGGCUCCUGCUGGGUUGGCAGCAGGAAGGGCAGCUGCCUAAGGUUGUGGUCUGUGCUGUGUAGUAGCUCAGUCAUCGCCCUACGGUGUGGGCCUUGUGUCUGAGUGAGAGCAGCUGGUUGCCCGUGAGCCAGUUUGGGUCCUUCAGAGCCCCUGAGUUGUUCAGUGAUGUGUCCUGACCAGGGUUUCCCUUCCCCACCACACUGCCCUUCAAGAGAAUCUGAAGUGACCUUAAGGCCCGUGUUACUGGACACAACUAGAGCUCUUUCCCAGCCUCGGUGCUGGCUACAGCUUGGGUGGUGGGGGCAGGGGGUUUCUCUUUGUCUGGAGGGCUCAUCCACUGCCUAGUACAUCAGAAGCAGCUGCUUCCCCCUGAUCAUUGCAUUAAAAGUAUCUCCUGGCACUGCCAGAUGUCCCCUAAUCAGCAGGGCACAGCAUUCCCUUUGAGUUAGAGAUAUUCACUAGAGGCACUCUGUCCAAAUGGCACCUAGUGUGUGCUUUGGAUCAGCCUACAGAGCCACAGACUUGUGUAAUGGACUGGAAAGCUGCCUGGUUCUUUGUGUCCUUUGAUCAUGAAGCCAUUGUAUUUCCUGCUUGAGAAUCUUAGGGUACAUUGAAAAGGACAAAGUGAAAAAUGAUAGUGACUGUAAUCCUUACUAAAACAAUAGCUUACGUUAGUGGGGUUUUUUCCCACUUUCAGUUUUUCAUACAUGUGUCCUGUUCGUGUUAACGCCAGGCUGUGCUAAUGUUACCACAGAACUUUGUAUCAUGGGCAGUUUCCCAUGGCCUUGCAGUUCCAUAGUACUAGGCUUGCGGUGGAGGUUUUUGUUUUGUUUUCUCCCCCACCUCCCAUUUGGGGAAAAGAAACCCAAAACCCUGUCGUCUUCAGUUUCACCCAGUGGUAUGUCUGUAAGCGGAAUAAAAUCUCCAAAUAGAGCCGGACAGUGGUGACGCACACCUUUAAUCCCAGCACUCAGAGGCAGAGGUAGGUAGAUCUUGAAUUGGAGGCCAGCCUGGUCUACAGAGAGUUCCAGGACAGCCAGAACUGUUACACAGAGAAACCCUGUCUUGAAAAACAAAAAAUGAAAACAAAACAAAACAAAAAAUCUCCAAAUGAUGGGCAGAGUGCUGAUCAACAAGCCUGCAGACCUGAGUUCAGUCCUCAGGGCCUUCAUGGAAGAAGAAAUGACUCCCUCAGGUUGUCCUCUGACGCUCACACAUGUGUCAUAGCACACAUGCCCACACAUGCCUAAAUAUCAUUUUAAAAGUUAAGUGCAAUGAUAAAUCUUUGCCUCCUGGAUUUUAAAGUACUGUGAGCAAUAGUUGGAGAGUAACGGAAGGUGUGGCAGGCAGACAGUUCGGGGUGUGUGACUUGUGGGGGUCGCCCUACGGCUGCGCUCGUUACCCAGGAGCCACGUCGUAGAGGAGAGAGCUGCUCCUGACUUGCACGUGUUGGCACACACACCCGCACACACACCCGCACA